rnacentral:rRNA from 1 species
UGGGGAAUUUUUUCGCAAUGGGCGCAAGCCUGACGAAGCAACGCCGCGUGGAGGAUGAAGGCCUUCGGGUCGUAAACUCCUGUCGACCGGGACGAAUGCAGUCUGGGUCAAUAGCCCGGGCUGUUGACUGUACCGGUGGAGGAAGCCACGGCUAACUCUGUGCCAGCAGCCGCGGUAAUACAGAGGUGGCAAGCGUUGUUCGGAAUUACUGGGCGUAAAGGGCGCGUAGGCGGUUCGAUAAGUCCCGUGUGAAAGCCCCCGGCUCAACUGGGGAACUGCACGGGAAACUGACGGACUUGAGUUCGGGAGAGGGAAGCGGAAUUCCGGGUGUAGCGGUGAAAUGCGUAGAUAUCCGGAGGAACACCGGUGGCGAAGGCGGCUUCCUGGACCGACACUGACGCUGAGGCGCGAAAGCUAGGGGAGCAAACGGGAUUAGAUACCCCGGUAGUCCCUAGCUGUAAACGAUGAGCGCUGGGUGUAGGGGGUGUUAACCCCUCUGUGCCGAAGCUAACGCAUUAA